GUGAGUCAUCGAAUCUUUGAACGCACAUUGCGCCCGCCAGUAUUCUGGCGGGCAUGCCUGUUCGAGCGUCAUUACAACCCUCAGGCCCCCGGGCCUGGCGUUGGGGAUCGGCGGAGCCCCCCGUGGGCACACGCCGUCCCCCAAAUGCAGUGGCGGUCCCGCCGCAGCUUCCAUCGCGUAGUAGCUAACACCUCGCGACUGGAGAGCGGCGCGGCCACGCCGUAAAACACCCAACUCUUCUGAAGUUGACCUCGAAUCAGGUAGGAAUACCCGCUGAACUUAAGCAUAUCAAUAAGCGGA
rnacentral:misc_RNA from 1 species